UACGUAGGGUGCAAGCGUUGUCCGGAAUUAUUGGGCGUAAAGAGCUCGUAGGCGGUCAGCACAAGUCAGUUGUGAAAUCUCCGGGCUUAACUCGGAAAGGUCAACUGAUACUGUGCGGCUAGAGUGCAGAAGGGGCAACUGGAAUUCUCGGUGUAGCGGUGAAAUGCGUAGAUAUCGAGAGGAACACCUGCGGCGAAGGCGGGUUGCUGGGCUGACACUGACGCUGAUGCGCGAAAGCCAGGGGAGCGAACGGG
rnacentral:rRNA from 1 species